rnacentral:misc_RNA from 1 species
ACACACAACAUACAGGGUUAACGCGUGCUCGUUCAUUUUCGCAGCUAGAAAUCUAGUUGUCGUCGUUCUCAAGCACCCUCCGCCACCUGGUCGAGGUCCUCUGGCGUUUCCGUGGCUUCGUCUAAUUCAACUGGAGGUCGGUCAACCGGAUACGAUAGCAGCGAUGAUACUCGUACGUAGAAGAGACGCGAACUCACGAUAUCGGCGUGAAUUAAAGCGAACGGCGCUCUUGUCGACUCCACCUGAGCACUACGACUGACGACAAGAGCCGAGCAGCCGGCCAUCGUAUCUUCGGAUAAGCCUUAUCGGUGCCCAAAGACCCCACCCUUCGCCCAUGGGCCGCAUCCCUCACAAGCACACGGCCGCGUUUUCACGUUCGAGCGUUUCUAACGUUUCGAGCUGGCUCACGGUACGCUUGCCCGCGUGUAAACUCGCUUAAGCGCCCCUACGAGCAUUUACGCUCGACUUUCUUUCGUACUUUCACCGCGACACAGCUGCUGCCGCGACUUUGCCACGCUUUAGUAUCUCGCGGCUUUUCCUCUUUCCGUCUUCCACUUUGGAUCGGAAGAAGAAAGAGUACGAGUCAGCGCGCCACUCGUUCCUUUUCCCGAUACAGACACCUUCUCGAGAGUUCGUGUCCAGAUCCGUUACGUCGAAGGAACGGAACGCCUUCGAAGAUGCAGCCACUCCGUGAAAACAUAUCGCAGCUUUCCUGGCCUGGUCUCUCGGUCAAAAGCUCUCGCAGAAGACAAUUCGCUUCCACUUUGCUGCAUCGUUUCUCGACACCGCACCGCGGCAAAGACGCCGAGAAUAAAUCCACGAUACCGAUUUGUCGCCAGUGCCUGGUGAUUUUGGCACGAGGCUCACGUGCCACGAUAAAGCGACGUGCCGAUCGGGACAAAGACGCCGGAACAGCGUUUUCUCCAGUAGCCACCGCACGUUCGACAACCCGACGAAUGUCGUAAGCUCGCUCUGUUCUUCAAAUUCUUUUCCUUUUAUUUCCUCCUGUUUCCUUUCCUUUUCUCCCUUUUCUGUCGCGAAAGAUAUUAUGGUUUGUAGAUCGCGUACGCACGAAGAGAAUCGGAGUUUGCUCCGAGACCUUUUUCAGAUUUAUUUAUCAGACUCGUUCGAAUAUUUCUGUUAACCUUUUUAAUGAUUCCAUGAGAAUGGAAUGAUACAUUGUAAAUAUAACUGCAGAUCUAAAAAGCAAACUUGUCAUUACUUAUUGUCAAAUUUAAAAACUUGCUUAAAGAUUCUCUAACGUCGAGUUAUUGGGGAUUAUUUUCAAACGUUGUUUUUCAGAUAAUUAUAUAAAGUAACUUUAUAUAUUAUAUUAUUUGAAAUUCUCUCGAAAUCUGUUUCAUCGCUGUGCGUACAACAUGAGAGUAGACGAACUAUUUUCUUGUAACAACUUCGGUUAGGAGUAUCAAUUGAUGCGUGACCCCGAACUUAUGAACGCUGACGUACAAUACAAUACCACGAGUAAUUAUUCGAACGGGUAUAUGUUUGCUAUUUAUCAUUGGAAAGCUCGUAUCUCCGAUUAUGAGUUUGUAUAAUCCAAACGGCAAAAAUCGACAAAAAGAAAUGCUGCUCCCUUUAUUAUGAAAAAUUUAUGAUGUCGAUCAGUGCAAUUAAUGAUCAUGUUUAUCGUUAAAGGCGUUAAGGCAGAUUCGGAGAAAUAUUAAUUUCAAGUAAUGAUAUUUUUCGUAUCGAAUAAGUAUGUUUGAAAAUUCAUGCCAAUUCGAAUCAUCACGCGUGACCCAAUUAAUAGUCCUUGAACCAAGGACGUACAGAUUCUGCUUGAUCUUACGUGGCGAUACACAGCCAAGCUUUAUCUUUCGAGAAUAAAAUCGUCGGUUCCAGACACAAUCUUUCUGCCGCAAUAAAAUUACAAUUCGUUGUUUUUUCAACGAAUAACUGAAUCUUUAUAUGGUUUAACUUAAGAACGAUAAACAGAUGAUGGC